ACAUUGGUCGAGUAUGGAUGAUGU
rnacentral:siRNA from 1 species